rnacentral:pre_miRNA from 1 species
AGAGGAAUAGCUGUGUCAAAUGGUGGUUUCAUUUCCAGAUUUUCAAGGAAUCUCCAUACUGUUUUCCAAAUUGGCUGCACCAAUUUGCAGUCCCACCAGCAGU